UACGGGGGGGGCAAGCGUUGUUCGGAAUUACUGGGCGUAAAGGCUCGUAGGCGGCCAACUAAGUCGGACGUGAAAUCCCCAGGCUCAACCUGGGAACUGCGUCUGAUACUGGGUGGCUUGAAUCCGGGAGAGGGAUGCAGAAUUCCAGGUGUAGCGGUGAAAUGCGUAGAUAUCUGGAGGAAUACCGGUGGCGAAGGCGGCAUCCUGGACCGGCAUUGACGCUGAGGAGCGAAAGCCAGGGGAGCAAACGGG
rnacentral:rRNA from 1 species